AUUGAACGCUGGCGGCAGGCUUAACACAUGCAAGUCGAGCGGAGAUGAGGUGCUUGCACCUUAUCUUAGCGGCGGACGGGUGAGUAAUGCUUAGGAAUCUGCCAUUUAGUGGGGGACAACAUUCCGAAAGGAAUGCUAAUACCGCAUACGUCCUACGGGAGAAAGCAGGGGAUCUUCGGACCUUGCGCUAAAUGAUGAGCCUAAGUCGGAUUAGCUAGUUGGUGGGGUAAAGGCCUACCAAGGCGACGAUCUGUAGCGGGUCUGAGAGGAUGAUCCGCCACACUGGGACUGAGACACGGCCCAGACUCCUACGGGAGGCAGCAGUGGGGAAUAUUGGACAAUGGGGGGAACCCUGAUCCAGCCAUGCCGCGUGUGUGAAGAAGGCCUUAUGGUUGUAAAGCACUUUAAGCGAGGAGGAGGCUACUGAGACUAAUACUCUCGGAUAGUGGACGUUACUCGCAGAAUAAGCACCGGCUAACUCUGUG
rnacentral:rRNA from 1 species